rnacentral:rRNA from 1 species
GUGGGGAAUCUUCCGCAAUGGACGAAAGUCUGACGGAGCAACGCCGCGUGAGUGAUGAAGGUCUUCGGAUUGUAAAGCUCUGUUAAUCGGGACGAAAGAGCCUAGUGUGAAUAAUGCUAGGAAGUGACGGUACCGGAAUAGAAAGCCACGGCUAACUACGUGCCAGCAGCCGCGGUAAUACGUAGGUGGCAAGCGUUGUCCGGAAUUAUUGGGCGUAAAGCGCGCGCAGGCGGAUCUGCCAGUCUGUCUUAAAAGUUCGGGGCUUAACCCCGUGAUGGGAUGGAAACUACAGAUCUAGAGUAUCGGAGAGGAAAGUGGAAUUCAUAGUGUAGCGGUGAAAUGCGUAGAUAUUAGGAAGAACACCAGUGGCGAAGGCGACUUUCUGGACGAAAACUGACGCUGAGGCGCGAAAGCCAGGGGAGCGAACGGGAUUAGAAACCCGGGUAGUCC